UGUGAAUGUAUUCUGAACAUAAUAGUCCAGAAGAGUCUUAUAUUACAAGAUGUAAUACAAAUCCCCACUGCACAUGGCUACAGAACCGUACUAUAAAAACUAUCACAGCAUUUUCUUGGAUUUGUUAUUAUAUGAAAAUUGAUUAAAGGUAAAUCACAUGUAAUUACCCAUUUGAUAGGUCUGACUGACAGGAAAGGACCCAGAUAAGAUCCUGGAGGCAAUGGGAUGUGUGGCUGCUCAACACAGACCGACCACACUUGCUCACUGCCGUGUCAUCUCAUACCCUUCCACCCUGGACAUACAUACCUUCUCACAUGCACCAAGACUCUGUGCAUGGAGAGAAUCCUCAAACCAACAGAAAAAUGAUUGACACAGAAGCCAAGUGCCAGCACUGCGUAUAAGUAACACUACCACCAUCCACAGUGAAGUUAAAAGGAGUUCGAGUAAAUUCUUAGAUCCAUCUUCAUACUUCCACUUCCUCAGACAGCCGGGAGAGCCACCUUUCAGAAGCUUUUUUCAUCUGAUCCUCAUGUCCUUUCAAAGGUAAGGAAAUGAGUGCAGCAUGAGUAGUUGUUAUUUGAGGACCUUGCUUUUAAGGAGAGAGGAGUGGGAAGUGACUGGCCAGCAGUCCCUGGGGUUGGAAUAGCCUUUCCCUGUGAGGAAAGAGAGAGUCUCAGAUCUCUAAGCAACUGUAGAUACCUGGAAGAUUGGCAAGGGGCCCUGAUGGAGGCUCUCUCUCUGAUUUUACCAGUCGAAGGCAUAGAGGAGAAGCCUAG
rnacentral:lncRNA from 1 species